UCAUUUACACAUGAAGUCAAGUGGCCUAUACUGUAGUGUAAUUAUUACUCCUUAAAUUAUGAUAUCCUACAGUUAUUGUUAACUAUAAUAAAGGUAAUGAUAAAAUGAUAAUAUCUAAAAUUGAAGUGAGUUGGUUAUAUAAAACUAUUUACAAUAAGAUAUUCGUCAGAUUCCAACGAAUCUUUAAUGCUGCUGCGCAGAAUCUAGCUACCUGUGCUGUGACUGUGGUCUGUUCGUCUUUGAGCAGGAUCUGUAGAUAGUCGGAAUCAGAGCAGCCGGGAUACCUAUUAAUCAUCGGAUGAAUAAAUUUUGUUCGAAUGUCUCUAUAGAAUGAACAUCAAAGAAGGACGCGGCCAGUGGUUUCUACCUCUCCAGAAGCACAGGGACGGAGCCUUUCGGCCAAUGGUAUCUUUUUGUAUUUGCUAUCCAGAACAGCUAAGAGGAGCACGUGGCAUCAUGCAAGUGAAAAGGCUUUCCGAUGGUCUCUAACUGGCUAAGAUAUCUGGCAGGGUUGACAAUGUAUUUGGUAUAGUCUGGAGAGAGGAAUGAUGGAACCUUCUCUAAGUCUGUUGGUCUCUCUAUGUCCCCUUAAUCUCAAAUUUUGUUUUGCUUGUUCAUAGUCCAAUUCAAGUAUUGAGGAAGGUGAAAAACCUAGUUUUGCAAGGCUUGACUAAACAGCCUU